rnacentral:rRNA from 1 species
UACGAAGGGGGCUAGCGUUGCUCGGAAUCACUGGGCGUAAGGCGCACGUAGGCGGAUUGCUAAGUCAGGGGUGAAAUCCUGGAGCUCAACUCCAGAACUGCCUUUGAUACUGGCGAUCUCGAGUCCGGGAGAGGUGAGUGGAACUGCGAGUGUAGAGGUGAAAUUCGUAGAUAUUCGCAAGAACACCAGUGGCGAAGGCGGCUCACUGGCCCGGUACUGACGCUGAGGCACGAAAGCGUGGGGAGCAAACAGG